GACGAACGCUGGCGGCGUGCUUAACACAUGCAAGUCGAACGGUAAGGCCCUUCGGGGUACACGAGUGGCGAACGGGUGAGUAACACGUGGGUGAUCUGCCCUGCACUUUGGGAUAAGCCUGGGAAACUGGGUCUAAUGCCGGGUGGCCCAGCAGCUCUUUGGGGCGGCUGGAAAAGGUAGCUUCGGCCCCCGUCCGAGGACGAGCCCGCGGCGGAUUUGCUUGUUGGCGGGGUAACGGCCCACCAAGGCGACGAUCCGUAGCUGGUCUGGGAGGACGAUCAGCCACACUGGGACUGAGACACGGCCCAGACUCCUACGGGAGGCAGCAGUGGGGAAUCUUGCGCAAUGGGCGAAAGCCUGACGCAGCGACGCCGCGUGAGGGAAGAAGGCUUUCGGGUUGUAAACCUCUUUCAGGAGGGACGAAGCUACUCGGGUGAAUAGCCCAGAGGGUGACGGUACCUCCAGAAGAAGCCCCGGCUAACUACGUGCCAGCCGCCGCCGUAA
rnacentral:rRNA from 1 species